GACGAACGCUGGCGGCGUGCUUAACACAUGCAAGUCGAACGGAAAGGCCCUGCUUUUGUGGGGUGCUCGAGUGGCGAACGGGUGAGUAACACGUGAGUAACCUGCCCUUGACUUUGGGAUAACUUCAGGAAACUGAGGCUAAUACCGGAUAGGAGCUCCUGCUGCAUGGUGGGGGUUGGAAAGUUUCGGCGGUUGGGGAUGGACUCGCGGCUUAUCAGCUUGUUGGUGGGGUAGUGGCUUACCAAGGCUUUGACGGGUAGCCGGCCUGAGAGGGAGACCGGCCACAUUGGGACUGAGAUACGGCCCAGACUCCGACGGGAGGCAGCAGUGGGGGAUAGUGCACAAUGGGCGGAAGCCUGAUGCAGCAACGCCGCGUGCGGGAUGACGGCCUUCGGGUUGUAAACCGCUUUCGCCUGUGACGAAGCGUGAGUGACGGUAAUGGGUAAAGAAGCACCGGCUAACUACGUG
rnacentral:rRNA from 1 species